ACAAGGUUUCCGUAGGUGAACCUGCGGAAGGAUCAUUGUCAAAUGUCAGUUUAGAAUGACUCGUGAACAAGUAAUAAUAUGAUUGGACAUUAGGGAGAUGAGCUCAUGCUUGUGUACUCUUUCGUCCUGCUGAUGGACAUUUAUAUUGCCUUUAACGGGCAUUGUACAUGUCUUGAUGGCACCAAAACAAUCCCCGGCACGGAACGUGCCAAGGAAAUGAAAACAAAAGAAGGGUGUGGCUUGUGAUGCUUCGAUUAUGGUGUGUCAUCGGGCCUACACACUUUUGAAAUCAAAAAUGACUCUCGGCAACGGAUAUCUUGGCUCACGCAUCGAUGAAGAACGUAGCAAAAUGCGAUACUUGGUGUGAAUUGCAGAAUCCCGUGAACCAUCGAGUUUUUGAACGCAAGUUGCGCCCGAAACCAUUUGGUUGAGGGCACGUCUGCCUGGGCGUCACACAUUGUGUCACCCUCUAAACAUUUGUCUAUAUUUAGUUAAGGGUGGAUAUUGGUCUCCUGUGCCCAUGGCAUGGUUGGCCUAAAUGGAAGUCCUUUACGAUUGAUACAUGACUAUUGGUGGUUGAAAAGACCUUCGUUCGGAGUUGUGGAUCAUACGUUGUAAGGAAAAAACUUCAAGAAAGACCCUGACACGAUGCCUUGUUGAUGUUUCAAAUGCGACCCCAGGUCAGGCGGGACUACCCGCUGAGUUUAAGCA
rnacentral:rRNA from 1 species